GCACAAGCGGUGGAGUAUGUGGUUUAAUUCGAUGCAACGCGAAGAACCUUACCUGGUCUUGACAUCCCGGAGACCCUUAGGAAACUAGGGGGUGCUUCCAUCUGGAAGAAUCUGGAGACAGGUGCUGCAUGGCUGUCGUCAGCUCGUGUCGUGAGAUGUUGGGCUAAGUCCCGCAACGAGCGCAACCCUUGCCUUUAGUUGCCAGCAGUUCGGCUGGGCACUCUAAAGGGACUGCCGGUGUUAAACCGGAGGAAGGUGGGGAUGACGUCAAGUCCUCAUGGCCUUUAUGACCAGGGCUACACACGUACUACAAUGGCCGAUACAAAGGGCAGCGACACUGCGAGGUGAAGCCAAUCCCGUAAAAUCGGUCUCAGUCCGGAUUGGAGUCUGCAACUCGACUCCAUGAAGUUGGAAUCGCUAGUAAUCGUGGAUCAGCAUGCCACGGUGAAUACGUUCCCGGGCCUU
rnacentral:rRNA from 1 species